rnacentral:rRNA from 1 species
GACGAACGCUGGCGGCGUGCUUAACACAUGCAAGUCGAACGGAAAGGCCCUGCUUUUGUGGGGUGCUCGAGUGGCGAACGGGGGAGUAACACGUGAGUAAACUGCCCUUGACUUUGGGAUAACUUCAGGAAACUGGGGCUAAUACCGGAUAGGAGCUCCUGCUGCAUGGUGGUGGUUGGAAAGUUUCGGCGGUUGGGGCUGGACUCGCGGCUUAUCCGCUUGUUGGUGGGGUAGUGGCUUACCAAGGCUUUGACGGGUAGCCGGCCUGGGAGGGUGACCGGCCACAUUGGGACUGAGGGACGGCCCAGACUCCUACGUGAGGCAGCGGUGGGGAAUAUUGCACAAUGGGCGGAAGCCUGAGGCAGCAACGCCGCGUGCGGGAUGACGGCCUUCUGGUUGUAAACCGCUUUCGCCUGUGACGAAGCGUGAGUGACGGUAAUGGGUAAAGAAGCACCGGCUAACUACGUG